rnacentral:rRNA from 1 species
UACGUAGGUGGCGAGCGUUGUCCGGAUUUACUGGGCGUAAAGAGCGCGCAGGCGGUCGUGCAAGUCGCGUGUGAAAGCCCCCGGCUCAACUGGGGAGGGUCACGCGAUACUGCUCGACUCGAAGGCAGGAGAGGGAAGUGGAAUUCCCGGUGUAGUGGUGAAAUGCGUAGAUAUCGGGAGGAACACCAGUGGCGAAGGCGGCGACCUGGGUAGAUACUGACGCUGAGGUGCGAAAGCGUGGGGAGCAAACAGG